rnacentral:lncRNA from 1 species
AACAUAUUUAUAUAAUUAUUAAUAAUUUUGUUUUCUUCAUCUAUCAGGAAAGCAUUGGCUAUGGAAAGAGCCAAAAAGCAAGAGCAGAGACAGAGACAGACAGAAAGACAGAAAGACAGAGGGACAGAGACAGACAGAAACAGAGAGAGAGACAUGAAGAGCUGAGGCUUUGGGAAAGACCCAUACCCUUGCUACCAAGGUGUGGAGUCUACCAGCGAAGGAGUGGCUGAGGAUGCUGGUGGCCUGAGGUUCUGGAGGCUGAUGUGAUCCAGCUGUGAAUCCCCUUGUGAACAGGAGUUGGCAUGAGGGUCACAAAGAGACAGAGAGCCUGGCAGUAGUGAGAGAUGUAAGACCUGAUCCCCCAGGAACCAGGAAAGUUGUAAUUGGUCAGACCAUUGGGAGAUAGAGGAAGCAAACUGCCCAGGACCAUUGCUUGUAUAGCCCAGCCUGCUCAUGGGCAGCCUGGGGUGCCUACCUGUGUGGGCCAUUAACUGUGUCUUCCAGCAGGAAGGGGAGCAAGUCCAUCAGCAGCCUGGCAAGGAGCUGAGGAACAGGAUGGAGCCUCAGGCUAGUGCUCCAGGGAUGGGGCUCCUUGUUCUCCCCAACCUUCUCCAGGAGACAUCGAGGCUCACCCAAGGCCUGUGCAAGGGAGAUGAGAAGCUGAGAGCAAGACUCUCUCUCAGAGAACUCUCUCUGGAGGUGGAGCUGGCCAAAGCUGAACUGGUGGGGCUCUGAACACUAGAGUCUUGCUUGGACAAAUCUUGUGGUGAG